GUAGGUGGCAAACGUUAUCCGGAAUUAUUGGGCGUAAAGCGCGCGCAGGCGGUUUCUUAAGUCUGAUGUGAAAGCCCACGGCUCAACCGUGGAGGGUCAUUGGAAACUGGGGAACUUGAGUGCAGAAGAGAAAAGCGGAAUUCCAUGUGUAGCGGUGAAAUGCGUAGAGAUGUGGAGGAACACCAGUGGCGAAGGCGGCUUUUUGGUCUGUAACUGACGCUGAGGCGCGAAAGCGUGGGGGGCAAACAGGAUUAGAUACCCUGGUAGUCCACGCCGUAAACGAUGAGUGCUAAGUGUUAGAGGGUUUCCCGCCCUUCAGUGCUGCAGCUAACGCAUUAAGCACUCCGCCUGGGGAGUACGGUCGCAAGACUG
rnacentral:rRNA from 1 species